rnacentral:rRNA from 1 species
UACGGGGGGGGCAAGCGUUGUUCGGAUUUACUGGGCGUAAAGCGCGUGUAGGCGGCUUUGCAAGUCGGAUGUGAAAGCCCACGGCUCAACCGUGGAAGUGCAUCCGAAACUGCAUGGCUUGAGUCUCGGAGAGGAAGGUGGAAUGCUUGGUGUAGAGGUGAAAUUCGUAGAUAUCAAGCAGAACACCUGCGGCGAAGGCGGCCUUCUGGACGAUGACUGACGCUGAGACGCGAAAGCGUGGGGAGCAAACAGG